CCCACGCGCACACGUUCACACGUUCCUCACCCCACCCUUCUCGCUCCCGAUCCCAUCUCCCCACCGGCCUCAACUUGGCUAUGGCGACGGGGAGACGAGGAUCAACAACUCCUCUCCUUUGCCUUCUCCAUCACCGCCCGCCGCCCGCCACCCGCCACACGCCUCCCCGCGUCCCUCCUUCAUCCCCGUCCCCGAUUGGGCCGCCGCCGCCACCGCACCAUCAGGGGACACCGUCGGAGUGCAACCACAGUGCCGCCAGGGUACGCCGCGUGUACCGGCCGGCAAUGCAUGAGACGCCGCGGCUGCAGGGCAACGCCGGACGAGCAGCGCACGAAGCAGGUGCAGGUGGCGGUUCUGGUCAGAAGGAGGCAGCAGGGGGAGGGGGGCUUAGGCGGGUGAAGGGAGGCCGUGCGGCACCGAAGGGAGAGGUCGUCUGCGGUGGUUACCGUGGUGCAGUGCGGACGGCACGACUGCAAGGGGACUCAGCGGCGGCGUGCAUGGCCGUGGGGGUAAGGUGAGCGGGUCGGGGCACAGUGGGAGAAGAGCGCCGGGGUCCAGGCCGUCUUCCUCCGUGGAGAUGGAUUGGUGGGUCGACGUCACCAACACGCGCUCGAGGUGAGGUCUGAGAAUUUCCUCUUCUCUUAAAUUGUUGAUUUGGGGACUCAAGUGCAUCGCCCGCCUCUGUUUGGACUGAUCUGUUUUCUGCGUGCCCCUCGACAAGUAUAUUCUGACCAUGUUGUCCGGCCACGCCUACACGUCGGAGGUCUUGGAGAAGAUUGGCCUCCUUCAGCGGCUUGUGACCCCAGGCCCCCAACACUGAUGAGGCUUCAUGGCGGGUAAGGACCGUUCCAGUCAUAGAACAAAGUCCCAAGCUCUCACCUCUCACCUCUCUGAUGAUGAUGCACAUUGUCACUACACAUAGAUUGCAGUUAAAGAAGUACACAAGUUAAUUAAUUCUUGGGCUGACUUUACAGCAAACAGUGCAUCCGCUUCGACUGGUUAAUUUUCUGCGUGCCAAAGAGGGCCUCGACAAGACAACAAGUACCCCAUGACCAAGUUGUCCGGCAGUAGGUAUGAAUCAGGUGCAAAUUCCCCAUUCAUGCCUCAUGUUUUAUAUGGAGCAAAGAAAUGUUUUCUGCCUCUUUAUUUUCUGUAUAAAAAAAUCCCUGUUGUUAGGCUGCUGGCCUUUGUUAAUACUUGCUUACUUCUGAAUCCUGAUAUCUGAAUUCGAGGUGAUGGUUUUCCAUAUUACAUUGCUUCAAAAACUAUGUUAAUCCAUGACGUCAGCUGUUAAUCUUCCCUUUGUCAUGUUCUCUUUUAACUUUUAAGCGUUUUUUUGAUUAAUCCAGUUCCAACUGUUAAUCUAUUCCCAUGGGAACAUAGCAACACAACAAGAAAGUAAUCAACAAAAACUCAAAUGUGUAAAGCUUCUUGGACUGAAAAUUUGCAAGUCCAGUAUUCUAACUUGACUGCAGAAGAAGUACAAAAGAAGACCUACAACUGUACCGAUGAAUGACUGCAAAAAGGGGUUGUGCAAGAUGUCAAGAUUAUUGUGAAGAUGAAAAACUUCUACCGAAGGCGAGAGCUUUAUAGUUUUGGGAUUCAUCUGGUGGCUUCCAUGAAACAUCAUCUUUUGUUGAGGACAUGGGAGUUAACUUCGCCAUGGACGGGAGCUGAGAUAAUGGUACCAACGAAGUUCAUAGUUGGCGACUUAGAUCUAACAUACAAUAUUGUAGGUGCAAAAGAUUUCAUUAACAAAGGUGGCUUCAAGAAGUUUAUUCCGUUACUUGAUGGCGUGGUGAUAAUGAAAGAUGUCGGGCAUUUCAUAAAUGAAGAAAAGCCAGAGGAAAUUAGUGGGCUCAUAAUCAGCUUCAUAAAGAAAUUCAAGUAAACUGAAGUAUAUCGAGUACGUGAUGAAUAAGGUCAAAAUAUGCAUGGUUAUUGGAAAAUUUAUAUUUUGACCAUUGUAUUAUUGCGUUGAAAAAGUACAGACAUAUUUAUGAAAGUAUAUUUUUACUGUCCA